rnacentral:misc_RNA from 1 species
UUAGUUGAGUUGAGUUGAGUUAUAAGUUUCGCAAUCUUGCUUUCAUGUUGUUUGAGAUCAUAAUUUUCUGCUAUUAUCAUCCUAGAUUGUGGUUUUCUUUUUGCAAUAUUGUUUUUUACUAAUAUUUUUCAAUAAAUUAUUGGUAUGUGCCAAAUCUUACACCUAUUUAUCAACAUUUUAUAAGUUUAUAUUAAUCAUCUAUACUAGUUUUAUCUAUUUUAUUGAACCUUUUUUUUUCCUGAGUUAUGUAAGCA